GAGUUUGAUCCUGGCUCAGAACGAACGCUGGCGGCGUGCUUAACACAUGCAAGUCGAACGUGAUUGAGAGCUUGCUCUCAUGAAAGUGGCGCACGGGUGAGUAACACGUGGAUAAUCUGCCUGGCGAUUCGGGAUAACACUUCGAAAGGGGUGCUAAUACCGGAUAAGCCCACAGUCUCUUUGGAGGGUGCGGGAAAAGGGGGCCUCUGUAUAUGCUCCUGUCGCUAGAUGAGUCCGCGGCCCAUUAGCUAGUUGGUAGGGUAAUGGCCUACCAAGGCGACGAUGGGUAGCUGGUCUGAGAGGAUGAUCAGCCACACUGGAACUGAGACACGGUCCAGACUCCUACGGGAGGCAGCAGUGGGGAAUUUUGCGCAAUGGGGGAAACCCUGACGCAGCAACGCCGCGUGAGUGAUGAAGGCUUUCGGGUCGUAAAGCUCUGUCAGAGGGGAAGAAAUGAGUCUGGCUAAUAUCCAGAUUUCUUGACGGUACCCUCAAAGGAAGCACCGGCUAACUCCGUGCCAGCAGCCGCGGUAAUAC
rnacentral:rRNA from 1 species